AUAUGGUCCCAUCCAUUGAUGCCGCCUGGAGCAAGUCUGUCUGUGUACUGUGCGCAAGUUGUUUCUUGGGCACAACGGAUUUUUCCAGCGGAAAGGUAAACAAGAAAGAGUCCUGGUGGCUGAAAGCUGCUGAACGAAGUGAAGAAAGGGGAAGAGUGAGUGAGACCUGAAGGAAACGUCAUCAAAGCGCUCCGGAAGCGUCCGACAAUGAAGGCUGUGAUUUACCAUGCCUUUUCUCAUAAAGAAGCCAAGGAGCACGAUGUACAGCAGGAGCUUGGAAGCCAGCGGGCUGAGGCCUUUGUGAGGGCCUUCCUGAAGCAGAGCAUAGUUCACUGGAGCCAGCAAGACUUUUGAGAGCCAUCUGCAACUUAAGGCUGUGGUCUUGGAAUACUUGUCAGAAGCCAAAGCAGCAGAAGAAGAAAUCCAAAGGCCUCACUGCCAAACAGAGGAGAGACAUGAGGCUCUUUGACAUUAACCCAGAGCAACAGAGCCAUUAUCAGUAUCAAGAAAUAGAAUUGCCCAGGUGUUGUUAUGCACUGUCCUUCAUGAGAACUUCAGCUCCACAGGAGCAGGAUAGAGGUCAUAUCAUUCAGUUUCCUACCUCAGCACCCACUUAGCACACUAGGCACAUAGUUUGCUCCAAAUGUUUACUACAUGGAAGUGGGCAGGGGCCUGUCUGUGAGGAGGCUCACCCCUUAGUGCUGGGCAGCUCUAUAAAAGAACUACAUUCCAGGAACAGUUCAAGAGGCCCCAAAAUGAAUGAUGGGUGUCCUACCAAUGGCAAUUGCUCCACCAAGGCAACAAGACUGGGCUUUGUUGGUUCUGUGUAUGACCUGUUGGCUCCAGAACCCUGGCUAAAGCCCAAAGGACACUUAAGAACAGCCCGGAGAUUGCAAAGCCCAGGACAAGGAGUUGGGGUGCCUUGGCUCUUG